GUCCACCUCUCAUAAUUCCUGCUCUGCAAGGUUGGUGUGUCGAAAGCUCCUUUUCCUGUUCCCCUCUUUCCAUCCAACCCCCACUGGAAUCUCUGUAAAAAAAACCCUAGAAUCCGAAAUUCCCAAUCCAUCCCGAGCUGUUCAAAGAAGAAAGGAAAACCUGCAAAAAUGGCAUCGACAGCUAAGAGAAAGCGAGAUCUCACACCAGAUCCAGACGCGGAGGUGAUCGCUCUCUCGCCCGAAACACUAACGGCCAUCAACCGCUACAUAUGCGUUAUCUGCAACAAAGAGUUCCAGCGGGACCACAACCUCCAGAUGCACCUGCGGACACACAACCUGCCGCAGCAGCUGCUGCAGCAGCAGCAGCAGGAGCUGGAGCGGCGGGCGAGGGAGGAGGAGGAAGCGGCAGGCCGGAAGCGGGUCUACAUAUGCCCAGAGCCUACGUGCGACCGGCACGACCCAGCACGGGCGCUUGGCGACCCGACGGCGAUCAAGAUGCAUUACAGGAGGAAGCACGGAGAGAAGAAGUGGAAGUGUGGGCGGUGCGAGCGGGAGUAUGCGGUGGAGGCUGACUGGAAGACACACUCCAAGACAUGUGGUAGGAGCAGGAGGAUGGGGCACCGCUGCGGCUGUGGUAGCGUCUUCUCCAGGAAAAAUAGCUUCAUUGCACAUAGAGCUUUUUGUGAUGCAUUAGCAGUUCCUUCUUCUCCUUCUUCUGGUGCAGAUUCUGGUGCUUUGCCCUUUCGGCAGCAAGAUAAUUGCAGCCAGACGGGGAAAAUUGUGGUUAUUUGCCAAUUUGGUGGGGAGUUCGUGCCAAAUUAUGAUGGGACCAUGUUAUAUAUGGGCGGCGAAGCACAUGCAAUGGAGGUUGAUCGCAACACAAACUUGGACGAUUUUAAGUCCGAAAUAGCUGAGAUGGGAAAAUGUGAUGUAGGUACCUCUUCCAUUAAGUACUUCCUCCCAGGAAACAAGCGAACUCCUAUCACAGUAUCAAAUGACAAAGAUUUGCAACGCAUGAUUGAUUUUCACAAGCAGUCGGCAACGAUAGAUGUUUACAUCGUAGCAGGAGAUACCGUUCAUCACAAUGCUGUUCCUCACAUUGUGUUGAACACAGUUGGCCCAAGGGGAAGCGGGACUGCAAGCAGGACUGCGGUUGUAGACUCUGUCACCCCUAUUUCUUCUACUAUUGCUCCUGCCGACCCUAUUAGGCAGCUGAGGCUAACAAACACCGGGGAGAAAGCUACCAUCGGCGUGGGCCAAGAAUUUGACAGUGCCCAUGACUUCCGCGAUGCGUUACGCAAGUAUUCCAUGGCGAAAUCUUUUGUCUGCAUAUUUGUUAGAAACGAAUCAGGCCGCCUACAUGCUAAGUGUAAAGCUGACGGCUGCCCAUGGCGGAUACACGCAUCCAAAGUGAAGAGUACACAAAAGCUUAGAGUUAGAUCGCUAACCAAUGUACAUACGUGCGGAGGGGUUAGAGGCAACUAUGGCCAUCCUCUGGCUACGAAGCAAUGGCUUGUGAAUAUUAUAAAAGACAAGCUGCGAAGCUUUCCACUGUAUAAAACCCAGGACAUUGUGGAUGAUCUCCACCGAGAUUACGGAGUUAGCUUGAAAUACCAUCAGGUAAGGCAUGGAAAGCAGGUUGCGAAGGAGCAGCUUCAGAGUGUUCACGCACAAACAUACAAUCAUCUGCCUUGGUUCUGUGAGAAGAUAAGGGAGACGAACCCGGGCAGCCGUGUUACAUUGGCCACAACUGAUGACUCGAGGUUCCACCGCCUUUUUGUCUCUUUCCAUGCUUCACAACAUGGGUUUGAGCAUGGCUGCCGCCCCCUUAUUUUCCUCAAUUGGACAUCUCUGAAAGACAUGUAUUGGGGGACGUUGUUGGUUGCAGCCUCAGUCGAUGCAGACGAUGGUAUUUUUCCAAUUGCCUUUGCUAUAGUAGAGGACGUGACUUAUGAUAGCUGGCACUGGUUUCUAGUUGAGUUGAAAUCUGCAGUGUCAAAGACCCGCACCAUAACUUUUGUGUCUGACAGGCACAAGGGUCUGGCAGAAGCCGUGCCUCAAGUAUUUGAGGACAGUUAUCAUGCAUAUAGCCUACGCCACCUCAUAAGGGACUUCCAGACAGAGCUGACACGGUCGUGCCCACAACCGAUGAGGGAGCAGAUGUCGGGUGAAUUUAGGCGGGCCGCCCAUGCUUGCAGGGUUGUCGAUUUCAAUUCAUGCAUUGAGAACAUGAAAAACGUCUCACCAGGCAUCACUGCUUGGGUCCUGGCUAGUACGCCCGAGCAUUGGUCGAAUGUGUACUUCAGGGGUUCACGGUAUGAUCAUGUAUCUGUCCCGAAAAGCAUCACUGAGCUUUUUGUGGGCUGGAUAUCGGAGGAGCGAGAGCUGUCUGUGAUAAAAAUGGUAGAUGUGAUACGGUGUAAGAUGAUGGAGAUGAUUUGUUCACGUCGGGAGGCAGCAAACAGGUGGUCGACAACGCUCACGCAUGCGAUGGAGCAAAAGCUACGGAAAGAGAUGCACCGCUCACAGGUUCUCAAUGUGGUAUCCCAAUCAGGCAGCAUGUUUGAGGUUCGCGAUGACACUGUCAACAUUGUGAACCUUGAGACAUGGGAGUGUACAUGCCAGAGAUGGCAGAUCAUUGGUUUGCCGUGCAUGCACGCAGUUGCGGUCUUUGAUCGGAUGAGUAGGAACAGUUAUGAUUACUGCUCCGGGUACUAUACACUGGACCGCUACCGUUUAACAUAUUCAAAGCAGAUCAAUCCAGUACCGGAUGUAGACAAGCCCACAAAUGAAGAUGUUAGCCUAGGCACAGUCAUAUAUCCUCCCCGUAUCCGUCGCAUUGGUUGUCCGCCACCGGGCCAACGUAGAAAAAGCCAACGGAAAAAGAAGCGGAUUGUUGUAUCACAAGAGAUAGGUAGUUGACUGAAGCCAUUCCAUUCCCUUAGUCAGGCAGGAUGCACUGACUUGCAAAGCAUCUGAAGAAUGGAAGAAGAUCAGUGUUGCAUGCUGGAGGUUCAGGGUAUGUUUGGACGCAGGGUAUUGAAGUGGGAUGAGUUGUGGGCCUCAGCUGCAAAAUGCAAGUUGGAGUCCAAGUAAAGGUAGCUGCCAUUUGAUGGCUACUUUAUCACACUACAAUACUGGGAAGUAUACAUAGAAUGUCCUUUCUUAAUUUCUUCAUGAUUACACUGAAUGUUCUUUAUUCAGGAUUCAAGUUUCCUGCACAUCCAAGCAGAGUCCACUGUUUAUAUGGUCUAGGAAAUGAUGACAUACCCUUUAUUUUUU